rnacentral:rRNA from 2 species
GUGGAACGCGCCCCAGGCGCACCCAAAAACCCUUGGGAAUUUAUCCCUUACUGUUGCCUCGGCGUAUGCUGGCCCCAAGGGGUCCUUCUCGUCUCGAGAGGAGCAGGCCCGCCGGGGGCCAAGUUAACUCUUGUUUUUACCCUGAACUCUGGAAAAAAAAACCAAAAUGAAUCAAAACUUUCAACAACGGAUCUCUUGGUUCUGGCAUCGAUGAAGAACGCAGCGAAAUGCGAUAAGUAAUGUGAAUUGCAGAAUUCAGUGAAUCAUCGAAUCUUUGAACGCACAUUGCGCCCUCCGGUAUUCCGGAGGGCAUGCCUGUUCGAGCGUCAUUUCAACCCUCAAGCCUGGCUUGGUGUUGGGGCACUGCCUGUAAAAAGGGCAGGCCCUCAAAUCUAGUGGCGAGCUCGCCAGGACCCCGAGCGUAGUAGUUAAACCCUCGCUUUGGAAGGCCCUGGCGGUGCCCUGCCGUUAAACCCCCAAAUCUUUGAAAAUUUGACCUCG